rnacentral:rRNA from 1 species
CCCUUAGACGUUCUGGGCCGCACGCGCGCUACACUGACCAGUGCAACAAGCAUCCGUCCUUGGCCGACAGGCCCGGGCAAUCUUUGAACGCUGGUCGUGAUGGGGAUAGACUUUUGCAAUUUUUGGUCUUCAACGAGGAAUUCCUAGUAAACGCAAGUCAUCAACUUGCAUUGAUUACGUCCCUGCCCUUUGUACACACCGCCCGUCGCACCUACCGAUUGAAUGGUCCGGUGAAGCCUCCGGAUUGGCGCGCACCUCGGUGCCGCCGAGAAGUUGGCUAAACCUUACCAUUUAGAGGAAUGUGAAGUCGUAACA